rnacentral:lncRNA from 10 species
CUGGAUUUUGGACUUUCCAGUCUUAUGAACUGAUUAGCUCAAAUUCUUCUUGGAAGGGCUUGCAAGGUUUGCAGGAGGGUGCACAGUCGAUCUGGGGAGAGAAGUAAACACAAGCAAUGAAGAUAGUGGAGUGGCCUGGACGGGAAGCUUCUUUUACAAAGGAAGGAUGACAAGAGCCCACAGUUCUUAUUGUGUAGGUAAAAUGAGCCAGGGGCCAUGCCAACCGCAUCACAUGGAUUAUCACCUUGGAUUUUAACAGUAAGCCAAAG